CCCUUAGAUGUUCUGGGCUGCACGCGCGCUACACUGAUGCACUCAACGAGUUUACGACCUUGCCCGAUAGGGUUGGGUAAUCUUUUUAAAAUGCAUCGUGAUGGGGAUAGAUUAUUGCAAUUAUUAAUCUUCAACGAGGAAUUCCUAGUAAGCGCGAGUCAUCAGCUCGUGCUGAUUACGUCCCUGCCCUUUGUACACACCGCCCGUCGCUCCUACCGAUUUAGUGCUCAGGUGAAUAAUUCGGACUGCAGCAAUGUUUGGAUCCCGAACGUUGCAGCGGAAAGUUUAGUGAACCUUAUCACUUAGAGGAAGGAGAAGUCGUAACA
rnacentral:rRNA from 1 species